rnacentral:rRNA from 1 species
GACGAACGCUGGCGGCGUGCUUAACACAUGCAAGUCGAACGGAAAGGCCCUGCUUUUGUGGGGGGCUCGAGUGGCGAACGGGUGAGUAACACGUGAGUAACCUGCCCUUGACUUUGGGAUAACUUCAGGAAACUGGGGCUAAUACCGGAUAGGAGCUCCUGCGGCAGGGGGGGGGUUGGAAAGUUUCGGCGGUUGGGGAUGGACUCGCGGCUUAUCAGCUUGUUGGUGGGGUAGUGGCUUACCAAGGCUUUGACGGGUAGCCGGCCUGAGAGGGUGACCGGCCACAUUGGGACUGAGAUACGGCCCAGACUCCUACGGGAGGCAGCAGUGGGGAAUAUUGCACAAUGGGCGGAAGCCUGAUGCAGCAACGCCGCGUGCGGGAUGACGGCCUUCGGGUUGUAAACCGCUUUCGCCUGUGACGAAGCGUGAGUGACGGUAAUGGGUAAAGAAGCACCGGCUAACUACGUG